UACGUAGGGAGCAAGCGUUGUCCGGAAUCAUUGGGCGUAAAGCGCGCGUAGGUGGCUUCGUAAGUCCGCUGUGAAAGUCAAAGGCUCAACCUUUGAAAGCCGGUGGAUACUGUGAAGCUAGAGUACGGAAGAGGCGAGUGGAAUUCCUGGUGUAGCGGUGAAAUGCGCAGAUAUCAGGAGGAACACCAGUAGGCGAAGGCG
rnacentral:rRNA from 1 species